rnacentral:rRNA from 1 species
AGAGUUUGAUCCUGGCUCAGGACGAACGCUGGCGGCGUGCUUAACACAUGCAAGUCGAGCGAUGAAACACCUUCGGGUGUGAAUUAGCGGCGAACGGGUGAGGAACACGUGAAGAAUCUGCCUUCAACUCUGGGAUAACUCCGGGAAACCGGGGCUAAUACCGGAUAUGAGCCUUGAUCGCAUGAUCGGGGCUGGAAAGUUUUUCGGUUGAAGAUGACUUCGCGGCCUAUCAGCUUGUUGGUGAGGUAAUGGCUCACCAAGGCGACGACGGGUAGCCGGCCUGAGAGGGCGACCGGCCACACUGGGACUGAGACACGGCCCAGACUCCUACGGGAGGCAGCAGUGGGGAAUAUUGGGCAAUGGAGGAAACUCUGACCCAGCGACGCCGCGUGAGGGAUGAAGGCCUUCGGGUUGUAAACCUCUUUCAGUAGGGAAGAAGCGAAAGUGACGGUACCUACAGAAGAAGCACCGGCUAACUAUGUGCCAGCAGCCGCGGUAAUACAUAGGGUGCAAGCGUUGUCCGGAAUUAUUGGGCGUAAAGAGCUCGUAGGUGGUUCGAUACGUCGGAUGUGAAAAUCAGGGGCUCAACCCCUGACCUGCAUCCGAUACGGUCGAGCUAGAGUUUGGUAGGGGAGACUGGAAUUCCUGGUGUAGCGGUGGAAUGCGCAGAUAUCAGGAGGAACACCGAUGGCGAAGGCAGGUCUCUGGGCCAAUACUGACACUGAGGAGCGAAAGCGUGGGGAGCGAACAGGAUUAGAUACCCUGGUAGUCCACGCCGUAAACGGUGGGCGCUAGUGUGCGAACCUUCCACGGUUUGUGCGACGCAGCUAACGCAUUAAGCGCUCCCGCUGGGGGAGUACGAUCGCAGAUUAAAACUCAAAGGAAUUGACGGGGNCCGCACAGCAGCGGAGCAUGCGGCU